GCCACUGUAGCUCAGCGGUAGAGCAACGGUUUCGUAAACCGUAGGUCCUGGGUUCAAGUCCCAGCAGUGGCU
rnacentral:tRNA from 1 species